rnacentral:lncRNA from 1 species
CUGUGGAUGAGUCUCUGGAGGCCUGUACUCUGAAAGGUGCUAGAAACAAAGCGUGUGAGUGUGAUCCGGACUCCAGAGCCCCUAACCCACCACCACCAUGGUAGGAAAAGGUGCCAAAGGGAUGCUGGUCACGGCUCUUCACUGCCCACUGCCUCAGAGCACAGGAGAGGUGGUGCGAAGCAGAG